UACGUAGGGUGCAAGCGUUAAUCGGAAUUACUGGGCGUAAAGCGUGCGCAGGCGGUUUUGUAAGUUUUGUCGUGAAAGCCCCGGGCUCAACCUGGGAAUUGCGAUGAAGACUGCAAGGCUAGAGUUUGGCAGAGGGGGGUAGAAUUCCACGUGUAGCAGUGAAAUGCGUAGAUAUGUGGAGGAACACCGAUGGCGAAGGCAGCCCCCUGGGUCAAAAACUGACGCUCAUGCACGAAAGCGUGGGGAGCAAACAGG
rnacentral:rRNA from 1 species